CUAUAGCCUUGGUGGGGGGCGCGGGCGAAGUUCGUCCGCCGGAAUCGGAAUGGGGCGAGACUUUGCGAGGGGCCUCGGGGUGCCAAAAAUAAGCCGCGGGCAAAGCCGUGCCCAAAAAUAAGCGCCCAAAGGUCGUGGUGCCAAAACCCCCCAGCGGAAAAAUGGCCAAAAAACGGGUGGGCUAUAGCCUUGGUGGGGGGCGCGGGCGAAGUUCGUCCGCCGGACUCGGAAUGGGACGAGACUUUGCGAGGGGCCUCGGGGCACCGAAAAUAAGCCGCGGGCAAAGCCGCGCCCAAAAAUAAGCACCCGAAGGUCGUGGUACCAAACCCCCCAGCGGAAAAAUGGCCAAUAAACGGGUGGGCUAUAGCCUUGGUGGGGGAGGCGGGCGAAGUUCGUCCGCCGGACUCGGAAUGGGACGAGACUUUCCGUGGGGCCUCGGGGCGCCAAAAUUAAUCCGCGGGCAAAUCCGCGCCCAAAAAUAAGCGCCCGAAGGUCGUGGUGCCAAAACCCCCCAGCGGAAAAAUGGCCAAAAAACGGGUGGGCUAUAGCCUUGGUGGGGGGCGCGGGCGAAGUUCGUCCGCCGGACUCGGAAUGGGGCGAGACUUUGCGAGGGGCCUCGGGGCACCAAAAAUAAGCCGCGGGCGAAGCCGCGCCCAAAAAUAAGCGCCCGAAGGUCGUGGUGCCAUAACCCCCCAGCGGAAAAAUGGCCAAAAAACGGGUGGGCUAUAGCCUUGGUGGGGGGCGCGGGCGAAGUUCGUCCGCCGGACUCGGAAUGGGGCGAGACUUUGCGAGGGGCCUCGGGGUGCCAAAAUAAGCCGCGGGCAAGCCGCGCCCAAAAAUAAGCGCCCGAAAGUCGUGGUACCAAAACCCCCCAGCGGAAAAAUGGCCAAAAAACGGGUGGGCUAUAGCCUUGGUGGGGGAGGCGGGCGAAGUUCGUCCGCCGGACUCGGAAUAGGGCGAGACUUUGCGCGGGGCCUCGGGGCGCCAAAAAUAAGCCGCGGGCAAAGCCGCGCCCAAAAAUAAGCGCCCGAAGGUCGUGGUGCCAAAACCCCCCAGCGGAAAAAUGGCCAAAAAACGGGUGGGCUAUAGCCUUGGUGGGGGGCGCGGGCGAAGUUCGUCCGCCGGAAUCGGAAUGGGGCGAGACUUUGCGAGGGGCCUCGGGGUGCCAAAAAUAAGCCGCGGGCAAAGCCGUGCCCAAAAAUAAGCGCCCAAAGGUCGUGGUGCCAAAACCCCCCAGCGGAAAAAUGGCCAAAAAACGGGUGGGCUAUAGCCUUGGUGGGGGGCGCGGGCGAAGUUCGUCCGCCGGACUCGGAAUGGGGCGAGACUUUGCGAGGGGCCUCGGGGUGCCAAAAAUAAGCCGCGGGCAAAGCCGCGN
rnacentral:lncRNA from 1 species